rnacentral:rRNA from 1 species
UACGGGGGGGGCAAGCGUUGUUCGGAAUUACUGGGCGUAAAGGGUUUGUAGGUGGCUUGUUAAGUCAGACGUGAAAUCCCUCAGCUUAACUGGGGAACUGCGUCUGAUACUGGCGAGCUUGAGUGCAGGAGAGGAACGCGGAAUUCCAGGUGUAGCGGUGAAAUGCGUAGAUAUCUGGAGGAACACCGGUGGCGAAGGCGGCGUUCUGGACUGCAACUGACACCGAGAAACGAAAGCCAGGGUAGCAAACGGG